CAGCGCCGCGGGAAUACGUAGGUGGCAAGCGUUGUCCGGAAUUAUUGGGCGUAAAGGGCUCGCAGGCGGUUUCUUAAGUCUGAUGUGAAAGCCCCCGGCUCAACCGGGGAGGGUCAUUGGAAACUGGGAAACUUGAGUGCAGAAGAGGAGAGUGGAAUUCCACGUGUAGCGGUGAAAUGCGUAGAGAUGUGGAGGAACACCAGUGGCGAAGGCGACUCUCUGGUCUGUAACUGACGCUGAGGAGCGAAAGCGUGGGGAGCGAACAGGAUUAGAUACCCCUGUAGUCCCUGUCUCUUAUACA
rnacentral:rRNA from 1 species